rnacentral:lncRNA from 1 species
GGUGUGAGUGUUCUAAGCUUCAAAGUGCCUUUUCAAGGUGGUGAAAGAGAAGAGGAUUAUGCGAGGCCCUAGUAUUAGCCCUUCCAGAAGGGAUGGAGGAUUUUGUGGUAUAUUGUGAUGCAUCGAUAUCCGGAUUGGUAGCGGUGCUUAUGCAGAGGGGGCAUGUGAUAGCGUAUGCAUCGAGGCAGCUUAAGCCUCAUGAGUCGAGAUAUCCCACUCAUGAUUUGGAACUGGGAGCGGUAGUGUUCGCUCUCAAGAUCUGUUGACAUUAUCUGUAUGGGGUUCGGUGUACGAUAUACACCGAUCACAAGAGCUUGAAGUAUUUGAUGGAUCUGCCCAACCUGAAUAUACGACAGAGGAGGUGGUUGGACGUGGUCAAGGAUUAUGAUUGUGAGAUCCUGUCCCACCAAGGCAAGGCUAAUGUUGUAGCCGAUGCUCUGAGCCGAAGGGCGGAGGGCGCCCCAUUGCAGGAUGUAUGUUUGAGACUGACAGUGAUGACCCCGGUGUUGGAUGCUAUCCGUGGGGCCCAGGAUGAGGCUGCGAGGUCAGAAAGCCAGAAGAGAGAGCGAGUUGUCGGGCUGGUAUCAGAAUUCUUUACCGAUAGCCGGGCGCUUAUGACUUUUCAGGGUCGGAUAUGGGUACCGUUCGUGGGCGGAACGCGUACCAUUUUGAUGGAAGAGGCUUAUCGAUCGAAAUUCUCGAUCCAUCCCGGGGCCACUAAGAUGUAUUUGGACCUGAAAAAGGUAUAUUGGUGGCCCUGUAUGAAGAGGGAUGUCGCAUGGUUUGUAGAGAGAUGCUUGACCUGUCGCAGGGUUAAGGCCUAACAUCAACGCCCACAUGGUAAGCUGCAACCAUUAGAGAUUCCCGAGUGGAAGUGGGAACAGAUUACCAUGGAUUUCAUCACUAAAUUGCCAAGGACCGCGAGGAGUGUCGAUGCAAUUUGGGUGAUUGUGGACAGGUUGACGAAGAGCGCUCACUUCCUUGCUAUCAGUGAGAGCUCUUCUGCUGAGAGGCUGGCAGAGUUGUAUGUGAGGGAGGGGGUAUCGCGGCAUGGAGUUCCGAUCUUGAUUGUUUCAGAUCGAGAUGUGCGAUUUACUUCCAGAUUUUGGAAGAAGUUUCACGAGGAGUUGGGUACGAGGCUGCAUUUCAAUACCGCAUACCACCCACAGACGGACGGGCAGAGUGAGCGGACGAUUUAGACGCUCGAGGAUAUGCUUUGGGCAUGUGAACUGGAUUUCGGAGGGAGUUGGGACACGUAUUUACCCUUGGAUGAGUUUUCCUACAACAACAACCAUCACUCGAACAUUGGUAUGCCACCUUUCGAGCUGUUGUAUGGGAGGAGGUGUCGGACCCCCAUAUAUUGGGGAGAAUUAGGGCAACCCGUGAUGGGUAGUAUGGAGAUUGUACUUCAGACGACAGAGCAAAUACAACAGGUCCGGCAGAGGUUGUUGACCGUUCAGAGUCGCCAGAAGAGUUAUGCGGAUAGGCGACGAUCUGAGCACGAGUUUCAGGUUGGUGAUUUCGUGCUCCUGAAGGUAUCUCCUUGGAAAGCAGUGAUCCGAUUCAAGAAGAGGGGCAAGCUGGGGCCCCAGUUUAUUAGGCCGUUUAGAGUGAUUGCGAGAGUAGGCAGAGUAGCAUACUGUCUGGAGCUACCUGCGGAGUUGAGCCAGAUUCAUGAUACCUUCCAUGUGUCUCAGUUGAGGAAGUGUAUAGCCGACGAGUCGGCGGUAGUGCCUCUGGAGGAUAUUCAGGUGGAUGCGGGCCUGAAUUAUGCCGAGAGACCAAUCGCAAUUCGGGAUCAAAAGAUCAAGGUUCUGAGGAACAAGGUGGUGCCAUUGGUGUAGGUUCAGUGGUAGCAUCGGAAGGGGUCCGAGCUGACGUGGGAGUCCGAGUCGGAGAUGCGGGAGCAGCAUCCGGAGUUGUUUUCGGUAUAAGUCUUCGGGGAUGAAGUUUGGUUCUAGUGGGGGAGAAUUGUAAUAGCCCAAAAUUCAGGUUUAACUAUUUAACCCUUCAUCUUUCCAAGUUGUCAUAUUGGGUCUUUUGUGUUGAGUGUUAAGCUUGCGAGUACGCUGGGCGUACAAGGGGUACGUUGUGUGUACUCGCGCGCUUAUUCUGUACGCGGUUCCAUCCGGGUACGCUAGGCGUACCUAGGGUUACGCCGGGCGUAACCGGCCCAUACUCAAAACCCUAAUAUGACUUGAGGGCUAUAAAAGGAAUGAGAUGGUCUUGUCCCUCAGCCACCAUCUUUCAAAAAGAAACCCUAACAUAACAUUUCCUUCGUUCUUAGCUUGGGUGUGAGUGUUCUAAGCUUCAAAGCUCCUUUUCAAGGUGGUGAAAGAGAAGAAGAGACCAUUGUGGAGGCUAGAAGUUGGUGGUCAAGUGUGGAUAUGAGGACCACAAAGGUUGGAGCUUCUUCCUGAGGUAAAAAGUUCAGAUCUUGGAUUGUAGUUUAUAUGGUGUGCUUCUUGGACCAAUUUCUAGGGUUUUUGGUCCCAAGAUGGAGACUUUUUGAGCAAGUAGUCUCAAUUGGCCUAGAUCUAUCAUAUUCUAGAGCUAUAUGAGUUGUAUGUUCAUAAAAAUGCAAUCUUGGACGUGAAUGUUGAACCAUGCAUGAGAUCUAGACUCUUGGAGGUGAAAGGAAAGGUGUUAGAAGGUGUGGGGAGCCAUUAUAGCCAUGCAAAGGCUUAAAGGUUU